rnacentral:rRNA from 1 species
UAGGGAAUCUUCCGCAAUGGGCGAAAGCCUGACGGAGCAACGCCGCGUGAGUGAUGAAGGUCUUCGGAUCGUAAAACUCUGUUAUUAGGGAAGAACAAAUGUGUAAGUAACUAUGCACGUCUUGACGGUACCUAAUCAGAAAGCCACGGCUAACUACGUGCCAGCAGCCGCGGUAAUACGUAGGUGGCAAGCGUUAUCCGGAAUUAUUGGGCGUAAAGCGCGCGUAGGCGGCUUUUUAAGUCUGAUGUGAAAGCCCACGGCUCAACCGUGGAGGGUCAUUGGAAACUGGAAAACUGGAGUGCAGAAGAGGAAAGUGGAAUUCCAGGUGUAGCGGUGAAAUGCGCAGAGAUAUGGAGGAACACCAGUGGCGAAGGCGACUUUCUGGUCUGUAACUGACGCUGAUGUGCGAAAGCGUGGGGAUCAAACAGG